AUGGGCACACUUAAUCUGAAUUCUGCAUUAAUGUGCCUACAAGCACUUUCUUGCGAUUUUGUGUUUUUGUGUGUGUAUGAUUACUGCAAAUGUGUUAAAUGGGAUAGUUCACCUAAAAAAGUUACUGUUAUCAUUUACUUGUCCAUCAUGUGGGUCGAAAAAAAGGGUGUUUUAAAAAAUGUUGCUAACAACAUUCUUUAAAAAUAAGAACAUUUUUGAUUUGCUGUCCAUUAACAGUUUUGCUAGUAACUGACUUUUAUUGUAGACAUUUCUUUAAAAUAUUAUCUUGUAUGUUUCACAGAAGACAGAAAAAGUUUGGGGCAACAUGAGGGUGAGUAAAAGAUGAGUUACCGUUAUUUUUUGCUGUUAUAAAAGCAGUAAGAUGCUUAUUGCUGUGUGUUACCGUAAUUACUUAUUCCAUACUAAUAUGAGACAUUUUCUUUUCUCUGCCUAAUAAUAGCUAAUUUUGAAACGGUGGGUCACUACUGAUAAGAAUUAAGCAAUAGGAUUUCAAAUGAGUUGUUUAUUUAAAUAAUAUUAUACAUCUGCAUGACAAACUACUUUUUGCUGUGACUGUUCCCACAAGUUACUCUGAUUUGUUUUUUUUUUUGUUUGUUUGUUUGUUUUUUUGAUCAGUUGUAUCAGCAAGAAUUGGAAGAUAAAGCAAGAACUGCGCAAAAGCAGCAGCUCUUCUGGUGCACUUAAUUGUCUGAAGUGGCUCACUCAUUUUCAUUCACUACUCUGGUCUAUAUUUGUCGACUUAUGUAGGGAAGAGUGAAUGAGGAUAUAGGGCGAUUUUGGAUACAGCCACAAAUGUGAAAGAGAAAGCUGACCAUAGAAAAAGAGUUCUUGCUUGUACUUGAUAUAGCGCCCUUUGGCAAUGCUAAGAAUUUAAGCAAUAACAUGUGCAACUUUACAAAAUCGAACUUGCGUAGCUACUAAGGCUAUAGAUAAUAAAAAAAAAAAAAAAGAUGGUACACUCCUGUUAUUUAUAAUUGGGAGAAAUUGCAACGUGCAAUAUGGUAGAAUAUGUCCCGCCUUCAAAAUGAAAGAGCCAGUCUUUGAUUGGUAAAGUCAUUGCAUUACUGCAUGCCCUAUUAGCGGCUGUUUCUCUGAACUGCUAUAUGUAAGCCGUCCGCCAUAUUGGAACAAUCAAAGCAGGUACGUGAACACUCAAGAGCAAGAUGACUGUAGGUCUGCAACCAUAGUUACCAUCUGUAUGUGAAAUAGACUUCAGCAGAUGAUUUUGCUAAGCUAACACAAGAAGAAGCCGUUAGGUAACGUGAUGUUUAAAAGGUAUUAUAGUUUUAAAAGCCUGUAAUAUUGAGUUAAUACAGUACAUAUUAAAAACACAAACCAACACAUUCUGAAAGAUUAUUCAGUUUCUUGAGGAAUUAAAAUUUCGGUGUCUUUUUUUACAACUGGAGGCUGUGCAAUGUUGUGGCAUCCUAAAACUGAUUUUUAUUGUGAGUGAUGACACAUUGACUCUUCCAAGAUGGUGGACUCGUUGAUGUGUCUGGAGUGGUCUAAUGUCAUUUUGGUCUAAUGUCAAUUUUUUUUUUUUUGCUGAUUUGAGAUAUGUAAUUUAAUUGUGAGUUCAGCAAGCAGUUUUUGAGAUUUCAGGACACCCCCGUUUAUUUAGAUUGGACUUGGUCUUGGAUGCCCAAAAUAGCUGCCUGGAGGCGUUGCAAAUAUGGCCAGCCAAGUGAACAGACUUACCCAGGGCUGGAAUUGAGUGGGGAUGAAGGCCUGGUGGAAAAAAAUGACAAAAAGCAUCCACCCUGUGAAACCAACAUCCCCCCAACCAUCCCCUUUAGAUUAAUAAUGUUGUGUAUGUAAAAUUAAUCGUGCAAAUUAAAUGUUACAAUUCUCUAUUUAUGAUAAUU
rnacentral:lncRNA from 1 species